rnacentral:lncRNA from 1 species
CGUUUCCAUAGGAACCUCGACCCCGAGUAAUCCGGACAGUUACUCUGAGCGGUUUGUUAGAAUAUUGCUCCCUCAGAUACAAAGGAGGUAGGACCGGGUUUGCAGACAAUUACAGGGACAAAGUGGGGAACUUACCCUGCUACCCGGGACCAGCACUGCCAAAUUCUCCUGGGUGUCCUGGAGUCCACGCGCUCCCGGGGCCUCGGCGUCCUGAGGAGUUCGGCGAGACCAGAGUUUGGCUUUCUGACCUGUAAGGUGCCUCUCGCCUUGAGCCAAUUUCUAAAUCUUGUCACCCUCCAGAGGAGGGCCUACGCGGCACACACACAGAAGUUUCAGUCUCUGUAAAAUAAGGAAGGUACUUGAGCUGUGGUGGUGCACAUCUUAAGAAGAAAUUGAUCUCUCUGAGUUCAAGAUCAGCCCGACACACACACACAUCGAGUCCAGGCCAGCCUCAAAAAACAAAACAAAACAAAAUAAAAUGGCAUUCAAAUCAAAAAA